rnacentral:lncRNA from 1 species
AACAGACAGAGGAAGGUUCUCCUCAGAACAACAGACAGAGGAAGGUUCUCAUCAGAACAACAGACAGAGGAAGGUUCUCCUCAGAACAACAGACAGAGGAAGGUUCUCCUCAGAACAACAGUCAGAGGAAGGUUCUCCUCAGAACAACAGACAGAGGAAGGUUCUCCUCAGAACAACAGACAGUGGAAGGUUCUCCAGAGAACAACAGACAGAGGAAGGUUCUCCUCAGAACAACAGUCAGAGGAAGGUUCUCCAGAGAACAACAGUCAGAGGAAGGUUCUCCUCAGAACAACAGACAGAGGAAGGUUCUCCUCAGAACAACAGACAGAGGAAGGUUCUCAUCAGAACAACAGACAGAGGAAGGUUCUCCUCAGGACAACAGACAGAGGAAGGUUCUCCAGAGAACAACAGACAGAGGAAGGUUCUCAUCAGAACAACAGACAGAGGAAGGUUCUCCUCAGAACAACAGACAGAGGAAGGUUCUCCUCAGAACAACAGACACAGGAAGUGGUUUGAUUUUAAUUAAGGAAAGACACUAUCUGCAUCUCUUACUUUCUCUCUCUUUUUUUUUAAUAGAAAUCAUUUUUUGCACAAUAUGAAAAAAUGUUCCUCACAUCUAAGACGAACUAACAUGGUAAAGGAAGUAAAGAAAGGAAGGAGAAGCAUUCAGCAUGGUGGUGUAUAAAUGAGUCUGAUCAGUAAAGACAGACUUCAUCACAGUAGGCAAUGGGAUGGAGACUGGUCCAGGGUCCUUUGUCUUGGGAAUGUCCACGGUAUUUAGCUGUGGGGGAAAUGAGGGAUUGAUAUGAGUUUCAUUUGUUGUUUUGUGAAGUUAUAA